UCCCAUUCUGUUCAUUCUCGUUUUCCUGCCCACUUAACGAAAUUAUAUUCAAUGAGCUGUGGGAGAAAUCCACAAUUAUGGGCCAUUUUCAGAAAUGACACCAAGAGGUCUUUAAACUGAAUGCUUACACGGGCAGCCUCUAUUUCGAGGGUAAAGUCUCAACACGUCGGCCAUCAGCUGGUUGAGUGCAUGGUUCCUACUGGGGGGCCUCGAGCGUAUAGGCAGGACCUCUCCGGACAGACCGGUCUUGGCAGAGACUUACGACCGUCUGGAUCGCGUGGCAAUUUCCCAACCGGGAAGAGUCAACUUGAUCAAUCGCAACUUGAAAAAAAAAAAAAAACGGGGAAAGUUCUGCAGGAGGACAGAUUCUUGGAAGAUGGGA
ensembl:lncRNA